GUCUCUGUAGUUUAAUAAAAAUAUUAAAUUGCAAGUUUAAAGAUGAUUAAUGAUAUCUAAGACU
rnacentral:tRNA from 1 species